rnacentral:rRNA from 1 species
CGUUACCAAACUGUUGCCUCGGCGGGAUCUCUGCCCCGGGUGCGUCGCAGCCCCGGACCAAGGCGCCCGCCGGAGGACCAACCAAAACUCUUUUUGUAUACCCCCUCGCGGGUUUUUUAUAAUCUGAGCCUUCUCGGCGCCUCUCGUAGGCGUUUCGAAAAUGAAUCAAAACUUUCAACAACGGAUCUCUUGGUUCUGGCAUCGAUGAAGAACGCAGCGAAAUGCGAUAAGUAAUGUGAAUUGCAGAAUUCAGUGAAUCAUCGAAUCUUUGAACGCACAUUGCGCCCGCCAGUAUUCUGGCGGGCAUGCCUGUCCGAGCGUCAUUUCAACCCUCGAACCCCUCCGGGGGGUCGGCGUUGGGGAUCGGCCCUGCCUCUUGGCGGUGGCCGUCUCCGAAAUACAGUGGCGGUCUCGCCGCAGCCUCUCCUGCGCAGUAGUUUGCACACUCGCAUCGGGAGCGCGGCGCGUCCACAGCCGUUAAACACCCAACUUCUGAAAUGUUGACCUCGGAUCAGGUAGGAAUACCCGCUGAACUUAAGCAUAUCAA